rfam:Triticum aestivum genome assembly, contig: Triticum_aestivum_CS42_TGACv1_scaffold_404785_5BL
GAUCUACUCCCUCCGUCCCAAAAUUCUUGUCUUAAAUUUAUCUAGAUACGGAUGUAUCUAACACUAAAAUGUAACUAGAUACAUCUGUUUUUAGACAAAUUUAAGACAAGAAUUUUGGGACGGAGGGAGUACUCA